CAAAUGUUUAAAUAUAAACCUUCUAUUCUCUUGCCCCAUCCCUUGGGGUCGCCUAACACGGUGGGUCCUGGACAUUGCUUCCCACCCUGAGUUGUUUUCGAGACUCCCAGGACAGUGAGUGGAAGGCAGUCUGGCCUGCCUGCUGGGAGGGCCGCUUAUUCCAUAGAAAUCUCCAUACCUGCAAGGACACACAGUUCCUGCCACCCAGCAGAAAUAUGGGGAUCCCAGAGAUCAAAAUGGAGCUGCCCGCCAGGGCCAUGGGGAACGAGGACCGAGGCAGCCUGAGCAGGGGUGUGCAAGAGGACCAUCA
rnacentral:lncRNA from 1 species